GACAGAGGGUGCGAACGUUGUUCGGAAUUACUGGGCGUAAAGCGCAUGUAGGCGGCAGCGCAAGUCGGGCGUGAAAUCCCACGGCUCAACCGUGGAAGUGCACUCGAAACUGCGCAGCUAGAGUCCUGGAGAGGAAGGUGGAAUGCUUGGUGUAGAGGUGAAAUUCGUAGAUAUCAAGCGGAACACCGGUGGCGAAGGCGGCCUCUGGACAGUGACUGACGCUGAGAUGCGAAAGCGUGGGGAGCAAACAGG
rnacentral:rRNA from 1 species